CCUACGGGAGGCUGCAGUGGGGAAUAUUGGACAAUGGGGGCAACCCUGAUCCAGCCAUGCCGCGUGUGUGAAGAAGGCCCUCGGGUUGUAAAGCACUUUCAGUGAGGAAGAACGCCUGGUGGUUAAUACCCAUCAGGAAAGACAUCACUCACAGAAGAGGCACCGGCUAACUCCGUGCCAGCAGCCGCGGUAAUACGGAGGGUGCGAGCGUUAAUCGGAAUUACUGGGCGUAAAGCGCGCGUAGGUGGCUUGAUAAGCCGGUUGUGAAAGCCCCGGGCUCAACCUGGGAACGGCAUCCGGAACUGUCAAGCUAGAGUGCAGGAGAGGAAGGUAGAAUUCCCGGUGUAGCGGUGAAAUGCGUAGAGAUCGGGAGGAAUACCAGUGGCGAAGGCGGCCUUCUGGACUGACACUGACACUGAGGUGCGAAAGCGUGGGUAGCAAACAGGAUUAGAUACCCUAGUAGUC
rnacentral:rRNA from 1 species